ensembl:lincRNA
GGCCAGCAGGAUAGGAUCUCACGUUUCUGUUGGGAUGUAGAGUUCACAUACUUAUGAUGUCACUAAACAUUUCUGCCAAUGAGGAGAUAGGAAGGGACCACAAGGUUCUACUCUUGAAGAGAAGGCUAGGAUGGGCCUCAGUGUUAAAAAGUACUAUAGAAAACAAAAUGUAAUCAAAAGAUGAAAACUGAAACAGAAAUAUUAAAAGAAGAAAUAAGAGAAAAGUCAGCACCCUUUUGUGCGAAAUGUGGGAUAGUUAAACCAUACCGAGUUCUUAUCCUCAUCUGCAGUUUCACUGGUUCUGCCCUUCUCUGGUGGGCCUUCAACCUCUCAACCUGGGUGAAGAUAGAAAACUCAAACCAAUCCUUCUUCAGUGCUCUCUUUGCAAUAUGCAGUGAUGAGAUCAAAUGUUGGGUCCCACCAUCAAAAUCAAGUAAGUUCUGGCCUUGAAAGGGAGAGCCCUGCUUCAACCCUGUCCCUUCCCAGAAGUUUCAACCUCUUUUUCUGCCCCAGCAUACCUGAAGGAAGCAAUUAUAAGCCCACCAGUAACAGUGGCUCAUUUCAGAAUGAGCCAGGGGACCAGGCCUCUCAAGGGAUACCAGCCCAGCUAGAAUCACUAUUUUAGAUCUUUUGGCAGCUUACUUCUCCUUCCAUCCCUAAGCUUCCCACCAGUUGCCAUUGAUUCCUACCACUGCUUUUUUAGUAUUCUGGGGAUUCAGACCCAGAAAGAAGGGGGCCCUAGAGGGAGCUCCUGGCCUUUCUCCCCUCUCCCUCCCUAAUUCAGACUACUACAUAUUUGGUCAAAUUUUCAUGAUCAGCGCCCUUCUUCUCUCCUUCUUCCUGAGCUUUAUACUCCUAGCCUUCCCGCAUUCCCUUCCUGAUACCCGGAAACAGUACUUCAUCUUCACAACCACCUUCUUCAUCACAGGUAUCUGUGUGUUCCUUGCACUACUACUGCAUUAUCUGUAUAUUUUGAAAACAACUAACAUUUAUAAGAACAUGAAAAUCACCUUUCUCUACCCCUCUUUCCUCCUCAUAUUCAGCACCAUACUGUUUUUCUUAUCUGGAAUUCUCUGCUUGUGCAGCACCCAUCAUUGUUGGCUUCAGUGUGUCUUAGUACAACCAAUCCAAGUGAAACCCAUGCAACUCUCAGUGGACAAUGGGAACUCAGUCACAGAAAGGAUACCGGGUAGAGAUGGCUAGCCCAACGUCAGUGAUG